UACAGAGGUGGCAAGCGUUGUUCGGAAUUACUGGGCGUAAAGGGCGCGUAGGCGGCCUUCUAAGUCAGACGUGAAAUCCCCCGGCUUAACCUGGGAACUGCGUCUGAUACUGGGAGGCUUGAGUAUGGAAGAGGUAAGUGGAAUUGCGAGUGUAGAGGUGAAAUUCGUAGAUAUUCGCAGGAACACCAGUGGCGAAGGCGGCUUACUGGUCCAUUACUGACGCUGAGGUGCGAAAGCGUGGGGAGCAAACAGG
rnacentral:rRNA from 1 species